GGGGAUGGCAGGCUUAGACAUCAGAAGUUCAUUGAUAAACUGCAGACCGGGCGCUAUCCCGCAACAUGGCAAAAAACAAGAACUGCCAACAAAACAGCAGUCCCUGCAUUCGCUUUCGCGUAAUGCGGUGUCGCCUCACCUGAAGCUUGUACGGUGAACGCGGCAUAAACCCUCAAGCUGGUUCAGAAUCCGUGCCGUAGGCUUCUGAACGAGAACCAAAUCGGCAAACUCACGGGUGAUUCGUCGGAUUUUCUGCCUGUGUUUUACACCAACCCGACUAUGUCUGUAGAUGUUUUUCAAUACCUCUUUUGGACGGGAGUUCAAUUCUCCUCAUCUCCACAA
rfam:Candidatus Wolfebacteria bacterium RIFOXYD1_FTLL_48_65 rifoxyd1_full_scaffold_3070, whole genome shotgun sequence.